rnacentral:rRNA from 1 species
GCAUCGAUGAAGAACGCAGCGAAAUGCGAUAAGUAGUGUGAAUUGCAGAAUUCAGUGAAUCAUCGAAUCUUUGAACGCACAUUGCGCCCCUUGGUAUUCCAUGGGGCAUGCCUGCUCGAGCGUCAUUUGUACCUUCAAGCUCUGCUUGGUGUUGGGUGUUUGUCUCGCCUCUGCGUGUAGACUCGCCUUAAAACAAUUGGCAGCCGGCGUAUUGAUUUCGGAGCGCAGUACAUCUCGCGCUUUGCACUCACAACGACGACGUCCAAAAGUACAUUUUUACACUCUUGACCUCGGAUCAGGUAGGGAUACCCGCUGAACUUAAGCAUAUCAAUAAGCGGAGGA